rnacentral:rRNA from 1 species
UCGCCCGCCGCGCGCGGCGGGCGGGGCGGGGGCACGGGGGGCCUACGGGAGGCAGCAGCGGGGAAUAUUGCGCAAUGGGCGCAAGCCUGAUGCAGCCAUGCCGCGUGUAUGAAGAAGGCCUUCGGGUUGUAAAGUACUUUCAGCGGGGAGGAAGGCGAUAAGGUUAAUAACCUUGUCGAUUGACGUUACCCGCAGAAGAAGCACCGGCUAACUCCGUGCCAGCAGCCGCGGUAAU